GAUGAACGCUGGCGGCGUGCCUAAUACAUGCAAGUCGAGCGAACGGACGAGAAGCUUGCUUCUCUGAUGUUAGCGGCGGACGGGUGAGUAACACGUGGAUAACCUACCUAUAAGACUGGGAUAACUUCGGGAAACCGGAGCUAAUACCGGAUGAUAUUUUGAACCGCAUGGUUCAAAAGUGAAAGACGGCCUUGCUGUCACUUAUAGAUGGAUCCGCGCUGCAUUAGCUAGUUGGUAAGGUAACGGCUUACCAAGGCAACGAUGCAUAGCCGACCUGAGGGGGGGAUCGCCCACCCUGGAACUGGAACACGGCCCAAACCCCAAGGGGAGGAGGCGGUGGGGAAUUUGCCGCAAGGGGGAAAAGCCUAACGGGGCAACGCCGGGGGGGGAAUGAAGGUCUUCGGUUCGAAAAACUCUGUCUUUGGGGAAAAACAAAUGGGUAAGUAACUGUGCACAUCUGGCCGGAACCUAAGCAGAAAGCCACGCCAAACUCCGG
rnacentral:rRNA from 1 species